rnacentral:rRNA from 1 species
GACGUAGGGCGCGAGCGUUGUCCGGAUUUAUUGGGCGUAAAGAGCUCGUAGGCGGCUUGUUGCGUCGACCGUGAAAACCCGCGGCUUAACUGCGGGCUUGCGGUUGAUAUGGGCGGGCUGGAGUUCGGUAGGGGAGACUGGAAUUCCUGGUGUAGCGGUGAAAUGCGCAGAUAUCAGGAGGAACACCGGUGGCGAAGGCGGGUCUCUGGGCCGAUACUGACGCUGAGGAGCGAAAGCGUGGGGAGCGAACAGG